rnacentral:rRNA from 1 species
UACGGAGGGUGCAAGCGUUGUCCGGAAUCACUGGGCGUAAAGGGCGCGUAGGCGGCUCAUGAAGGCUGCGGUGAAAGCCCGGGGCUCAACCCCGGGUCGGCCGUGGCAACUGCUGGGCUGGAGCACAGUAGAGGCGGGUGGAAUUCCGGGUGUAGCGGUGGAAUGCGUAGAGAUCCGGAAGAACACCGGUGGCGAAGGCGGCCCGCUGGGCUGUUGCUGACGCUGAGGCGCGACAGCGUGGGGAGCAAACAGG